CCCCCUUUGUCUCUGGUAUCUGGUAUUACAUUCUCUCUCUCUCUCUCUCUCUCUCUCUCUCCAUAUAUAUAUAUAUAUAUAUAUAUAUAUAUAGAGAGAGAGAGAGAGAGAGAGAGAGAGAGAAUGUAAUACCAGAUACCAGAGACAAAGGGGG
rnacentral:miRNA from 1 species